rnacentral:lncRNA from 1 species
ACUAGUUUAUCUGUUUCUGUGUUUCCAUCAGUAGUAUCAGGAAUGGCAUCAGAGAUGUCCAGAUUGAUCUCCACAGGAGUUUGAAUUCCAGAAGGUGCUUCGGUUGUUACAUCAACAUCAGCAAUGUUGGCCAUGCUUGCAGGUUGUGUGUUCUCAGUUGCAUUUUCUGGUCCUAGAUCAUGGAAUUGCUGACCUUCUUUUGUUUGCCCAAUAGCGUCCUGCGUGUCUUCCUGCGCUGUGUUAUUUGUAGCACCUAAGUUAUGUUGAUCUUCUGGAACUGCGUCCUCAAGAGCAACACUGCUUUGUUGCACUGGUGCUUCAGUAUCAACUGCUUCAGCAACUUCAUUUUCUGCUACAGUAGCUUCUCUUUCUUCUAAUGAUUCCUGGUUCUGUGCUUGAAUAUUUACAGGUGGAUCCCUUGUUGCUGUGUCAUACUCUGGUACUGUCUCCUCAGAUGUUAGCAUGUUGCUCUGGUUGGCUGUUUCUUCAAUCUUUUCAUUCGCUGGGCCACUGGUUUCUUCAGCAUAUUCUUGAUUGAGCACUUCAAGGGUAUCAGUUGCUGGCUCAUCGGCUUUAGAUUUAGGCACCUCUUCUUGCACCACGUCUGCAUCCAUUGCAUCAGCUUGCUGGUUGUGCUGAUCUUCUACAUUGGCCACCUCUUCUAAAGGUUCUGUGGUAGAUGUAUCUUCUAGAAAACUCUCUUUGUUUUCAGGAUGGAUAACACCUUCUGCUUUAACUAGUUCAUCUGUUCCUGUGUUUCCAUCAGUAGUAUCUGCAAUGGCAUCAGAGAUGUCCAGAUUGAUCUCCACAGGAGUUUGAAAUCCAGAAGGUGCUUCGGUUAUAACCUCAACCUCAGGAAUGUUUGCCGUGCUUGCAGGUUGUGUGUUCUCUAUUGCAUUUUCUGGUCCUAGAUCUUGGUAUCGCUGACCUUCUUUUGUUUGCCCAGUAGCUUCCAUCAUGUCUUCUUGCACUGUAUUAUUUGCAACACCUAAAUUAUGUUGGUCUUCUGGAACUGCCUCCUCAAAAGCAACACUGCUUUGUUGCACUGGUGCUUCAGUAUGAACUGCUUCAGCCACUUCUCUUUCUUCUACAGUAGCUUCUCCUUCAUCUACUGGUUCCUGGUUCUGCGCUUGAAUAUUUACAGGUUGAUCCCUUGUUGCCGCGUCAUAUUUUGGUAUUGUCUCCUCAGAUGCUGGCAUGUUGCUCUGGUUGGUUGCUUCUUCAGUCUCUUCAUUCACUGGGCUAUUGGUUUCUUCAAUAGAUUCUUGAUUCAGCACUUCAAGAGCAUCAGCUGUUGGCUCAUCAGCAUGUUCAGAUUUAGGCACAUCUUCCUGCACCACGUCUGCAUCCAUUGCUUCAGCUUGCUGGCUCUGUCUAUCUUCUACUUUGAUCACCUCUUCUGUAGGUUCUGCGGUAGAUGUAUCUUCUUGAAAGCUCUCUUUCUUUUCAGGAUGAAUGAUACUGUGCGCUUUAGCUGGUUCAGUUGUUUCUGUGCUUCCAUCAGUAGCAUCUGGAAUGGCAUCAGAGAUGUCCCGGUUGAUCUCAACAGGAGUUUGAAUUCCAGAAGAUGCUUUGGUUAUAACAUCAACAUCAGGAAUGUUUGCCAUGCUUGCAGGUUGUGUGUUCUCAGUUGCAUUUUCUGGUCCUAGAUCCUGGUAUUGCUGACCUCCUUUUGUUUGCUUAGUUGCUUCCAGUGUGUCUUGCUGCACUGUGUCAUUUGUCGCACCUAAGU